UCUGUGUGUGAUGAUGAAAACAGAUGAUGAGUCUGAUGUAAUCCAUUCUAUUAAACCAUGUUGACAAUCGAGGCAUUUGUCCGAGAGAG
rfam:Hordeum vulgare subsp. vulgare, WGS project CAJW01000000 data, contig: morex_contig_62332